UUGAACGCUGGCGGCGUGCUUUACACAUGCAAGUCGAGCGGCAGCAUGUCCUUCGGGAUGAUGGCGAGCGGCGAACGGGUGAGUAAAACAUCGAGACGUACCUUAUAGUGGGGGAUAACGCAUCGAAAGAUGUGCUAAUACCGCAUAAGCUCUGAGGAGGAAAGGCGGGGACCGAAAGGCCUGUCGCUAUGAGAGCGGUCGAUGGCUGAUUAGCUAGUUGGUGAGGUAAAUGCUUACCAAGGCGAUGAUCAGUAGCUGUUCUGAGAGGAAGAUCAGCCACACUGGGACUGAGACACGGCCCAGACUCCUACGGGAGGCAGCAGUGGGGAAUAUUGGACAAUGGGGGCAACCCUGAUCCAGCAACGCCGCGUGAAUGAAGAAGGCCUUCGGGUUGUAAAGUUCUUUUGUCGCAGAGCAAAGGUUGAGUGCUAAUACCACUUAACGCUGAGAGUAUGCGAAGAAUAAGCACCGGCUAACUACGU
rnacentral:rRNA from 1 species